rnacentral:lncRNA from 1 species
AUACACUUACAAAUCACUUUUCCUUGAUUCUUUUCCAUUAACGAAGCUUUCUCGUUUUUAUGGUUUGUGGUUCCGUCAUUGGGCUAUCAUCCAAAGCCGAAAGUUCUUCUCCAGUGUGACAUUUGAUUUCUCAUCAGAAGUGGCCAAAAGUUCCUCCGUCAAUGGUGUCGCAGCCACAAGAACACUCGGAUAAACCUCUUACCUAUGUCCACACCUUCCACAUUCAAAACAAAUGAGGUGGAUUUCCUCAUACUCCACUCUCUAAAUAUGUUUGCCAACUUGCAUCUUGUACACUAAAGACUUGGUGAGAUCAAGCUUGACAUACAAACGAGCAAAAUGACCUCUCAAAGCUUCUUCAAUAUUUCAGUCAAUGCGAAUAACCUUUCUUGCAUGAGUCCUCAUUCUUGAUAGUGUAAGAUUAUUAUAAUAUUCCAUAAGCAAACCCAAGAAAUGUAUCCACACAAUAAUCUUAUUGAUCUUGUCCAAACUAGGAUUGAAAUUAAAAGCCCUCUGUUUAACUGUAAGGUAAUGCCCCCAAAUGAUCCAAAGACCUCCUUCAAGAACAUGCUUGUAAUAUGAUCUCUUUUCAAACUUGAAGAGAAAGUAAUCAUGACCAAAGUCAAUCACCUAAUACCUCCCUUCAAGUUUCCAAUGAUGUUUAUUCUAGCCGUCAAGGUUUGAAAACCAAGCACCUAUCCAAGCAAUUUCAUGAUCAAGGCUUUACGCCAAGGGCUCCUCAUCGCCUUCUUCCCCUUUGUAAAACAAACCCUCAGUUUUUGUCCUUCCACACAUGGUGAUUGGUUUGAGUCUGAUUCAUCAUCAGAGAUCACCUCAUCAAAUUGCAUCUCAUCCCCAUGCUUUACAUCAUCCCACUUUUUCCAAAAAGAUUGCUAAGAAUCUUUAGAACCAGUCAACAUAUCUUUAUAUGAGGAUUUCUCAUUAACAUGAUCAAAACCAUUUUCAACAACAACAGAAGUCUUCGUAUCCUCAUCUUUAUCUUCAUUCACAACCUUCAAAUGCUUGAAUGUUUUGUUAGUUCGUUUCAGAAGGUCACUCUCGUUGUUGGGG